rnacentral:rRNA from 1 species
GAGACAGCAGUCGCCACGGUAAUACGUAGGUGGCAAGUGUUGUCCGGAAUUAUUGGGCGUAAAGGGCUCGCAGGCGGUUUCUUAAGUCUGAUGUGAAAGCCCCCGGCUCAACCGGGGAGGGUCAUUGGAAACUGGGAAACUUGAGUGCAGAAGAGGAGAGUGGAAUUCCACGUGUAGCGGUGAAAUGCGUAGAGAUGUGGAGGAACACCAGUGGCGAAGGCGACUCUCUGGUCUGUAACUGACGCUGAGGAGCGAAAGCGUGGGGAGCGAACAGGAUUAGAUACCCCAGUAGUCCCUGUCUCUUAUAC